UACGUAGGGUGCGAGCGUUAAUCGGAAUUACUGGGCGUAAAGCGUGCGCAGGCGGUUUGUUAAGACAGGCGUGAAAUCCCCGGGCUCAACCUGGGAACGGCGCUUGUGACUGGCAGGCUAGAGUACGGCAGAGGGGGGUGGAAUUCCACGUGUAGCAGUGAAAUGCGUAGAGAUGUGGAGGAACACCGAUGGCGAAGGCAGCCCCCUGGGCCGAUACUGACGCUGAGGAGCGAAAGCGUGGGGAGCGAACAGG
rnacentral:rRNA from 1 species